rnacentral:tRNA from 1 species
GCUUGGGUGGCGGAACGGUGGACGCUGGGAACUUAAAAUCCCUUGAUCGAAGGAUCGUGCGGGCUUAAGUCCCGCCCCGAGCACCA